GAAGGCGGUCGCUUAACCAACUGAGCCACCCAGGCGCCCUGGAAUGAGAAUUACAGGACCCACUGUGUACCCCUGGGGUGCACCUAAGCUUGUUUGAGAAGCAUGGACCUAUGGCUGAGCUCACUGAAGAAGGUGGUACGCAAAUCUGUAACUCAGGACCCAACCAGAAGACAGGGCCACAGAGUAACUGGAAUAAGGGAAGUUUAACGUAAGGACUUAGUAUCUAUAAUAGAGGAUUAGAGUAAUGGGGAACUGGCCUAGAAGAAGUAAAGAGAACUCAGAAGAAUUCAGAAAUCAGAUAUAAGGGACAUCAUUACAUCUAGGACUGGGAUGGAGCAUUCCUUCUCCAUCAGGGCUGAGAUACAGACUUCGCUGGAGUGAGCAGCACAGCCUUGGCUCACGGGAUACUGGAAGAGUCACUGAGAUGCUGUGCUUGUGGGUCUUGCUGGAGAUCUACCCUCUGAGGCGCUGAGGAGCCGUCCACAGGGACAUGCUGUGCCCUGGAAAUCACUGCAAGGCCAGUUGAGGGAGUGCUGGGAAGGCAGCUGGCCACAGAGUGCUGCUGGCUGCCCCCAUACACUGUAGGAAGCAGGUGCUAGAGAAGCCGUUCAUUAUAGAAACGGUUCAUUGUGGAGCUGGAUAUGCAGAAGCGAUGCCCUGCAGGUGCCCAUGCUGGAGAAAUCAGGAGCUGUAGGGGCCUGGCAAAAGGAGCUUACCACACCACGAAGAGAAAAUACCUCUUUGCCUCCAGUACCCCUCCGUCUCCCUCCACCAACAAAGCUUAGCAUUGUACCAACUGGCAAAGAAGAAAUAUAUAAAGGGCCCAUAUCCAUUUCUAUAGUACAGACAAUGAAGAGUGGAUGUGGAGCUUAGAGGCAAACAUACUGAUAAUUAACACAAUAGGAUAGAGUUUUGUGACUCUUUUUCUGAAACGGAUCAUCUCUUUGAAAAUUCACGUCGUAUUUCAAUGUUCAUCCCUUAUGUUCUACAGAAGGUCUCCUGGUUUACUUCCUCCCAAUAUUUGCUUAGAAAAUUUUUAACACUUCCAUUUUGGCGUUUGCCUUGAGAACUAAAAUUUAGAGACAUGUCGGGGCGCCUGGGUGGCUCAGUUGGUUACGUGACUGCCUUCGGCUCGCGUCAUGAUCCUGGAGUCCCAGGAUCGAGUCCCACAUUGGGCUCCCUGCUCAGUGGGGAGUCUGCUUCU